rnacentral:lncRNA from 1 species
CAAUUUAUAUACAUUUUCACCAAUUUUUACAAUAACACAAUAUGUUAAUGAUCACUUCCUCACUUAAGAGUUGAAGGCACUGAAGUUUAGAGAGACUAAUUGCCUUGCCCAAGAUUGUAAAUAAUAAUCAGACAAGCUCUAUCUUGGACAAUAAUUUGUGUGAAACAAAAUCUUUAGGUUAAUUUUUUUCUUGUUCAAUUUCAUAUUUUUUUUUCUUUUAUUGAUCUUAUUUUUUAAUAAAUACAGGACAACAGUGGAAUGCAUUACAAUUCUUAUUACACAUAUAGAGCACAAAUUUUGGUAUCUCUGUAUAUAAAGUAUAUUCACACCAAUUUAUGUCUUUAUACAUGUACUUUUUUGCAUUACAAUUCUUAAUACACAUAUAUACCACAAUUUUUCAUUUUUUAUCUUCAUAGUUUCACCUUCUGUUAAGUUCUGG